rnacentral:rRNA from 1 species
AUGAUGUGGAUUAAUUUGAUGCAACGCGAAAACCUUACCUACCCUUGACAUGUCUGGAACCUUGGUGAGAGCCGAGGGUGCCUUCGGGAGCCAGAACACAGGUGCUGCAUGGCUGUCGUCAGCUCGUGUCGUGAGAUGUUGGGUUAAGUCCCGCAACGAGCGCAACCCUUGUCAUUAAUUGCCAUCAUUCAGUUGGGCACUUUAAUGAGACUGCCGGUGACAAACCGGAGGAAGGUGGGGAUGACGUCAAGUCCUCAUGGCCCUUAUGGGUAGGGCUUCACACGUAAUACAAUGGUCGGUACAGAGGGUUGCCAACCCGCGAGGGGGAGCCAAUCCCAGAAAACCGAUCGUAGUCCGGAUUGCAGUCUGCAACUCGACUGCAUGAAGUCGGAAUCGCUAGUAAUCGCGGAUCAGCAUGUCGCGGUGAAUACGUUCCCGGGCCUU